rnacentral:rRNA from 1 species
AGUCGAGCGGUAGAGAGGUGCUUGCACCUCUUGAGAGCGGCGGACGGGUGAGUAAUGCCUAGGAAUCUGCCUGGUAGUGGGGGAUAACGCUCGGAAACGGACGCUAAUACCGCAUACGUCCUACGGGAGAAAGCAGGGGACCUUCGGGCCUUGCGCUAUCAGAUGAGCCUAGGUCGGAUUAGCUAGUUGGUGGGGUAAUGGCUCACCAAGGCGACGAUCCGUAACUGGUCUGAGAGGAUGAUCAGUCACACUGGAACUGAGACACGGUCCAGACUCCUACGGGAGGCAGCAGUGGGGAAUAUUGGACAAUGGGCGAAAGCCUGAUCCAGCCAUGCCGCGUGUGUGAAGAAGGUCUUCGGAUUGUAAAGCACUUUAAGUUGGGAGGAAGGGCAUUAACCUAAUACGUUAGUGUUUUGACGUUACCGACAGAAUAAGCACCGGCUAACUCUGUGCCAGCAGCCGCGGUAAUACAGAGGGUGCAAGCGUUAAUCGGAAUUACUGGGCGUAAAGCGCGCGUAGGUGGUUCGUUAAGUUGGAUGUGAAAUCCCCGGGCUCAACCUGGGAACUGCAUUCAAAACUGUCGAGCUAGAGUAUGGUAGAGGGUGGUGGAAUUUCCUGUGUAGCGGUGAAAUGCGUAGAUAUAGGAAGGAACACCAGUGGCGAAGGCGACCACCUGGACUGAUACUGACACUGAGGUGCGAAAGCGUGGGGAGCAAACAGGAUUAGAUACCCUGGUAGUCCACGCCGUAAACGAUGUCAACUAGCCGUUGGGAGCCUUGAGCUCUUAGUGGCGCAGCUAACGCAUUAAGUUGACCGCCUGGGGAGUACGGCCGCAAGGU